ACGGGAGGCAGCAGUGGGGAAUAUUGCACAAUGGGGGAAACCCUGAUGCAGCGACGCCGCGUGAAGGAAGAAGUAUCUCGGUAUGUAAACUUCUAUCAGCAGGGAAGAAAGUGACGGUACCUGACUAAGAAGCCCCGGCUAAUUACGUGCCAGCAGCCGCGGUAAUACGUAAGGGGCAAGCGUUAUCCGGAUUUACUGGGUGUAAAGGGAGCGUAGACGGUUUGGCAAGUCUGAUGUGAAAGGCAUGGGCUCAACCUGUGGACUGCAUUGGAAACUGUCAGACUUGAGUGCCGGAGAGGCAAGCGGAAUUCCUAGUGUAGCGGUGAAAUGCGUAGAUAUUAGGAGGAACACCAGUGGCGAAGGCGGCCUGCUGGACGGUAACUGACGUUGAGGCUCGAAAGCGUGGGGAGCAAACAGGAUUAGAUACCCUGGUAGUCCACGCUGUAAACGAUGAAUACUAGGUGUCGGGUGGCAAAGCCAUUCGGUGCC
rnacentral:rRNA from 1 species